AACGAACGCUGGCGGCAUGCCUAACACAUGCAAGUCGAACGAGACCUUCGGGUCUAGUGGCGCACGGGUGCGUAACACGUGGGAAUCUGCCCUUUGCUUCGGAAUAACAGUUAGAAAUGACUGCUAAUACCGGAUGAUGUCGAAAGACCAAAGAUUUAUCGGCAAAGGAUGAGCCCGCGUAGGAUUAGGUAGUUGGUGGGGUAAAGGCCCACCAAGCCGACGAUCCUUAGCUGGUCUGAGAGGAUGAUCAGCCACACUGGGACUGAGACACGGCCCAGACUCCUACGGGAGGCAGCAGUGGGGAAUAUUGGACAAUGGGCGAAAGCCUGAUCCAGCAAUGCCGCGUGAGUGAUGAAGGCCUUAGGGUUGUAAAGCUCUUUUACCAGGGAUGAUAAUGACAGUACCUGGAGAAUAAGCUCCGGCUAACUCCGUG
rnacentral:rRNA from 1 species